rnacentral:rRNA from 1 species
CCUACGGGUGGCAGCAGUGGGGAAUAUUGGACAAUGGGGGGAACCCUGAUCCAGCCAUGCCGCGUGUGUGAAGAAGGCCCUCGGGUUGUAAAGCACUUUCAGUGAGGAAGAACGCCUGGUGGUUAAUACCCAUCAGGAAAGACAUCACUCACAGAAGAAGCACCGGCUAACUCCGUGCCAGCAGCCGCGGUAAUACGGAGGGUGCGAGCGUUAAUCGGAAUUACUGGGCGUAAAGCGCGCGUAGGUGGCUUGAUAAGCCGGUUGUGAAAGCCCCGGGCUCAACCUGGGAACGGCAUCCGGAACUGUCAAGCUAGAGUGCAGGAGAGGAAGGUAGAAUUCCCGGUGUAGGGGUGAAAUGCGUAGAGAUCGGGAGGAAUACCAGUGGCGAAGGCGGCCUUCUGGACUGACACUGACACUGAGGUGCGAAAGCGUGGGUAGCAAACAGGAUUAGAUACCCGAGUAGUC